AGAGUUUGCUCAUGGCUCAGGAUGAACGCUGGCGGCGUGCCUAACACAUGCGAGUCGAGCGAAGCACUUUACUCUGAUUUCUUCGGAAUGAAGAGUGAUUUGACUGAGCGGCGGACGGGUGAGUAACGCGUGGGUAACCUGCCUCACACAGGGGGAUAACAGUUAGAAAUGACUGCUAAUACCGCAUAAGGCCACAGCACCGCAUGGUGCAGGGGUAAAAACUCCGCGG
rnacentral:rRNA from 1 species